CUACGGGAGGCAGCAGUGAGGAAUAUUGCACAAUGGAGGAAACUCUGAUGCAGCAACGCCGCGUGGAGGAUGACGCAUUUCGGUGUGUAAACUCCUUUUAUAUGUCAAGAAAAUGACGGUAGCAUAUGAAUAAGCACCGGCUAACUCCGUGCCAGCAGCCGCGGUAAUACGGAGGGUGCAAGCGUUACUCGGAAUCACUGGGCGUAAAGGACGCGUAGGCGGGAUAUCAAGUCAGGUGUGAAAUCCUACAGCUUAACUGUAGAACUGCACUUGAAACUGGUAACCUAGAGUAUGGGAGGGGGCGAUGGAAUUAGUGGUGUAGGGGUAAAAUCCGUAGAUAUCACUAGGAAUACCUAAAGCGAAGGCGAUCUCCUGGAACAUAACUGACGCUAAGGCGUGAAAGCGUGGGGAGCAAACAGGAUUAGAUACCCCCGUAGUC
rnacentral:rRNA from 1 species